GCCCGGCUAGCCCAAUCUGUAGAGCGUGAGACUCUUUAAUCUCAAGGUUAUGGGUUCGACCCGUAAGUUGAAGGGCA
rnacentral:tRNA from 1 species